rnacentral:rRNA from 1 species
AACGAACGCUGGCGGCAUGCCUAACACAUGCAAGUCGAACGAGACCUUCGGGUCUAGUGGCGCACGGGUGCGUAACGCGUGGGAACCUGCCCUUAGGUUCGGAAUAACUCCCCGAAAGGGGUGCUAAUACCGGAUAAUGUCUUCGGACCAAAGAUUUAUCGCCUUUGGAUGGGCCCGCGUUGGAUUAGCUAGUUGGUAGGGUAAAAGCCUACCAAGGCGACGAUCCAUAGCUGGUCUGAGAGGAUGAUCAGCCACACUGGGACUGAGACACGGCCCAGACUCCUCCGGGAGGCAGCAGUGGGGAAUGUUGGACAAUGGGCGAAAGCAUGAUCCAGCAAUGCCGCGUGAGUGAUGAAGGCCUUGGGGUUGUAAAGCUCUUUUACCCGGGAUGAUAAUGACAGUACCGGGAGAAUAAGCUCCGGCUAACUCCGUG